rnacentral:tRNA from 1 species
GGCCCUUUAGCUCAGUGGUUAGAGCAGGCCUCAUAAUCGCUUGGUCGUUGGUUCAAACCCAACAGGGGACACCA